GUGGCUGGAGAGAUGGCUCAGUGGUUAAGAGCACUGACUGCUCUUCCAGAGGUCCUGAGUUCAAUUCCCAGCAACCACA
rnacentral:tRNA from 1 species